CUUUGUGGCAGUCCCCGCUUACAUCCUUGUCUGAUCUCAGAAGCUAAGCAGGGUCGGGCCUGUUUAGUACUUGGAUGGGAGACCACCUGGGAAUGCCAGGUGCUGUAAGCU
rnacentral:rRNA from 1 species